rnacentral:lncRNA from 1 species
CUUUGAAAUGAAACUUGAUAUUUCAAGCAGUUUUUUAUAAGUCUUCUUUAGUUCAUAGGCUGAUAAGAAAAUGGUUCGAUGGUAGAAUAAGAUAACACAUUCUCGAAACAGCAAGAAUCGAUUUGCUAAUGUUUUUAAGGUAGAAGAAGACAACCAGUUUGAUAAGUGAUUCUAUGAUGGGAAUAACAUUUCUGUUUUUGGCUUGGGAAUUGAGAAUGCUACAUCCUCGUGUAAGCAUGUCCAUCGUAUAUCUAAUUACUUAAAUUUAUUAUAUAUAUUUUUUAAUGACAGAAAAGUUUAAACCGAUCUUUAAGUAAGACCCAUGGUCGAUGUUACUUUCUUUCAUAAAUAUCAUCCCCUGUUUUCCUUAAGAAUGCAUUUAGAUUCACAUUGAACAUUAAUUAUAUGAUGUCAGUACGUUUUGCGGCACAUUCGAAUGCUUAGAAUAUGCAAUAGAAACGUCACGAACAAAUAAAGCUUAACUUCACUGAGUUAUGAUGUAUAUACCUUGCUACUGUAUUGUAUGCCCUUAACUUAUUAUUUUGAUAACAGAUUAUUUAGCGGAUCGGAAACAUGAUGAAAUAAUGUGGCAAUUGAAACUCUAAACAAAAUGGAAACCCAUCAUUUAUUUCCAUAUGAUGCACCGUACCAACAGCU